GACGUAGGGCGCGAGCGUUGUCCGGAUUGACUGGGCGUAAAGCGCACGCAGGCGGCCGCGCGCGUGGGGUGUGAAAUCUGGCCGCUUAACGGCCAGGCGCCAUCCCAUACGGCGCGGCUGGAGCCAUGCAGAGGGCGGUGGAAUUGCCGGUGUAGUGGUGAAAUGCGUAGAGAUCGGCAGGAACACCCAGGGGGAAACCAGCCGCCUGGGCAUGCGCUGACGCUGAGGUGCGAGAGCGUGGGGGAGCGAACCGG
rnacentral:rRNA from 1 species